rnacentral:rRNA from 1 species
CCUACGGGUGGCAGCAGUCGAGAAUCAUUCACAAUGGGGGAAACCCUGAUGGUGCGACGCCGCGUGGGGGAAUGAAGGUCUUCGGAUUGUAAACCCCUGUCAUGUGGGAGCAAAUUAAUAAGAUAGUACCACAAGAGGAAGAGACGGCUAACUCUGUGCCAGCAGCCGCGGUAAUACAGAGGACGCAAGCUGUGUUCGGAAUCACUGGGCGUAAAGCGUGCGUAGGCUGUUUCGUAAGUCGUGUGUGAAAGUCGCGGGCUUAACCCGCGGACUGCACAUGAUACUGCGAGACUAGAGUAAUGGAGGGGGAACCGGAAUUCCCGGUGUAGCAGUGAAAUGCGUAGAGAUCGAGAGGAACAC